GUUAUGAAUAUUCAAGUGCCAUGGCAGCUGAAAAUGUUCUACAAAUAGCUUGGUACCAGACAGAACUGAUUUAAUCAGUACAAUUUCUUAUUUUCACUGGCUUAUAAAAAGGAACCUAAAAUAAACUAGGAUGCCUUACAGGUCAGCAGCCUGAAAGGUCCUCCUGAUUCCAUAAAGUGUGUCUCUUCAUUUCCCACUGUCUCCCCUCAGCGUACUGGUCAGCAACAAAGUGUCACCUGAACAGGGACCUGAGUACCAAGAAACUUCUUGGAAACAGGAAAAUUGGCACAUGGAAUAGAAGCGCCUUCAGAAGGACUCCAACCUCGUCCAGGAAUUCAUAUGCAGAUUAUAAUGAUGUAUGGAUUGGAUGGGAUAAAAAAUAAAAGAACUGGUGCUCAACAAGCCCCCCAGGGCCGCCUUCCUGUGCAGAUCAACACAGACAGCCUUUUGUCAAAUACCCCCAACUGGCUGAAAUGUUAUUAUCCCACUCCUAUAUUGCACCACCCUGUUGGGUUUUCUUCAGAUAUUGAGAAGGCAUUAGGGGACUGGUCUUGUCAUCACCUAGAAUCCUGGUUGCCGUCCAACUGGGUGGUGCCCAGGGGUUGGGUGACUAGUAUAUGGUAUACAACUCAGGGUAUAGCCCAUCCAAAUUUGUGGAGACUGCUUGCUUCAUUGAAUGUUGUUACUGUACUAAUCAUAGACCAAGUUCAAAAUCUUAUGGUUUCCUAUUGUCUAUGCUCCUGUGUAGCUCCUCCCAAUGUGCUACUUGUGGGAAAUUUUGAAAUAAUGCCCCAUGGAAAUGGUUAUGAUACCUCCUGUAAUCAAUGUAUUUUAACAUCCUGUAUCUCUUCCACUACUGGGAAUAAACACAAAGAAUGGAGAUUAA